ACACACCCAGGCUAUAUGAUACUAAUCUUACGGGACCAUGGUCACAUAUGCAGUCCCUUGUUUAUCAUAAUGUC